AUUCCAGCUCCAAUAGCGUAUAUUAAAGUUGUUGCAGUUAAAAAGCUCGUAGUUGGAUUUCUGGCGGGAUGAACACGCCCUCAGCUGAGUGUGCAUGAGCGUCUCACCAUCCUUCUGUUAACCCUUAAGGUUUUAACGACCUUCUGGGGGCUCAGAUAUUUUACCUUGAGAAAAUUAGAGUGUUUCAGGCAGGCUAGCGCCGGGAUACAUUAGCAUGGAAUAAUGGAAUAGGACUUUUUCCUCUUCUGUUGGUCUGAGGGGUUCGAAUAAUGAUUAAUAGGGAUAGUUGGGGGCAUUCGUAUUUAACUGUCAGAGGUGAAAUUCUUGGAUUUGUUAAAGACGGACUACUGCGAAGGCAUUUGCCAAGGAUGUUUUCAUUA
rnacentral:rRNA from 1 species